rnacentral:tRNA from 1 species
GCCGAUGUAGCUCAGCCGGUAGAGCAACGGUUUCGUAAACCGUAGGUCAGGGGUUCGAAUCCCCUCAUCGGCU